UACGUAGGGGGCGAGCGUUAAUCUGAAUUACUGGGCGUAAAGCGGGCGCAGGCGGUUUUGUAAGCCAGAUGUGAAAGCCCCGGGCUUAACCUGGGAAUGGCAUUUGGGACUGCAAGGCUUGAGUGCGGCAGAGGAGACUGGAAUUCCUGGUGUAGCAGUGAAAUGCGUAGAUAUCAGGAGGAAUACCGAUGGCGAAGGCAGGUCUCUGGGCUGACACUGACGCUCAUGCACGAAAGCGUGGGGAGCAAACAGG
rnacentral:rRNA from 1 species